rnacentral:lncRNA from 1 species
UUAUAAAUAAUAAUUUUAAAAAAUCUUCUUUAGAUUUAUAAACAUAGUUUUUACUUCCCUAAAUGUAAGUGCUUAUAUUAUUUCCAAUUUUGAAUUUCUCUUUUUGACUUGCAUGAUGUUUCAAAACUUUACUUGUAGCCUAAAAUAUAUCGCUAGUAAAAUCUCCAUUAUUUUAUUUCUCCAAUGUUGGCAGGUAUGAUAUUAACUAUGAGUGCUUGUCUUUGUUGUAUUCUGCCUAUUUACUCAGCUUUUUCUUCAGACUUCCCCUUUUCAACAGACUGAUUGGUUCUGAAAACAAAGAAAUUUCAGAAAAAUAUUCUUUUCUGAAGAGUGAAAAUGAGAACAAGGACAUAAGAUGUUUGAAAGGACUGCAUGAGAAUAAUAGUGAGAUUAAUGACGUAAGAAAUCCUGGGUUUGCAUCCAGCAUUUAGAAAUAAUUCUAGCAAAGGAAUGUCUAUUGAGAAAUCAACUGUUAUCAUUUAGCAAGCUUGGAGACAAUAUUUAAUGAAAGUGAAGUUUUUAAAGAUGCAGGCAACUAUUCAAAGGACAUUUAAAACCAUAGAUAAACGAAUUGAAGCCGAAAAGCAGUGGUGUAUAAAACUUCAGUCAUUUUUUGAACAAUGGUGGAAACUCUCCAUGAAUUUUGGUGGAAACUCUCCUGAAAUUUGGUGGAAACUCUCCAUGAAGAAAGUGCAAAACCUUCUGGACAAACCAACUUUCUCACCGAAUCCAGGCAGUUAUCAAGUCCAGAUAAGGUGUUACACUAUAAUAAAAUAUAGCUUUUUAAAUAAAUUAAAAGGCUAAGACUGUUUGACAGAAAAAACUUGGUUCAGACAUCCAUUUAUGCUAUAAAAAAUCCAUGAAUCGGCCAGAUCUAUAGUGUUAUAAACCUGGUAAGUUUUCAUUUAUAGUUAGUAUUUUACUGCCACACUAGUAGAAUUCACUAAACAGAACUUGCACAUGACUGUUUAAAAUGAAUCAGAUCAGAUAUUUUUUUCUGUGAAUAAGAUGUUAUUUUUGCAGAUUGUAAAACUGAAGUGAGGAUUUUCAUUCAACAUAAUUUAUGUGUUCCAGUGCAUUUUGUUUAAGUAUAAUUAUAAUAUCAAAAAAAGUUUUUUAAUCUACUGUAUUAAAUAAAGUUUAUUUAGCAAUAUUAUUUUAAUCGAAACAUUUAUCCUGAUUUUAUAUGAUAUUGAUGAGAGCUCAUAAGUUGCAAUUGAUUUAUGACUAGAGCAAUCAGUUUCAUAACUUCUAAUUUUAUUCCAUUUUUUCUUCCAUCUACAUGACACACCAUUUUCAAGCAUGUACCAUUUUGCACCAUUUUUUAACUGAACAAUAUGAUUCAUUGCAUUUCCAUAAAAUUUUGUCAACUUUCUGCCUAGUGAACUGUCUCGCAUUCACAAAAUAAUACAUUGCAAGUUUUAUCACACAUUUUAGUGAAAAUCUAUCUCAAGGAAGAGAGAUUCAUCAAAUGUGACUUGAUAUCCUGAAGGGUCAUCAUCAGGAUAUCAAAUGUAUCACUAUGUGAAUCAUCAAGAUAUCAAAUUCUUUGAUUAUUUGUUUAACUUAAAAUUGUUUUUUUUUUGUAUUGUUCUCCUAUCUCUAAAAACUAGAAACGGGAUUUUUAAGUUUUCCACAAAUAUGCAGAAUUCCACUUUUUCUCUGACUUAGAAAAUGAAAAGUUUUUUUUUUUAAAGGAAAAGUUUUUUUUAAAGAAGUAUUAAUUUAACAGGGGAAGAAAGCUUUAUUUCAAACCUAAAGCUUUCAUUGUUUUUCUGGAGAGCAUAUUUGUAAAGAAAGCACAUUUUAUGUCAUCUUUAAUUAAACAAUCAACCUCGUAAGUGUCCCAGUUAUUAUUAUCAUUCGAAAAAUUGAGAAUAUAUAUAUAUAUAUAUAUAUUUAAAAGAAAGUUUUUUUCUGAAUUCAAUUAAAACUUUUUUCACUCCAAAAAUACUUGGACUAACAUAAUCUUACCAUUUAAUAAGUUAUAAAUCUCAAUAUUUAUAGUAAAAUUU